rnacentral:pre_miRNA from 1 species
UUUGGCAAUGGUAGAACUCACACUGGUGAGGUAACAAGAUCCGGUGGUUCUAGACUUGCCAACUA